UUUUUUUUUUUUUUUUUUUUUUUUUUUUAGUUGCAAUCAAACAAACUAAGAACUCCCGAGUCCCGUGCUACUUUUCAAUCCUUACAUCCUGUGCGAUAAUCCGCUCUAUCUCUUGAGGGUUUUAUCCCCAUUACUCCCCAGGAACUCGAGUUGCUGAGGUGAGUUGAAGAAGAGUCUGCUUAAUGUCCGGUCAAAGCUUUCAAGUAACACAGGAAUCCACGGUUAAAAAGCGGGGCACGCCAACCUGCUGCAAAGGGUAAAACACGGACGAGAGAAAUCUUCUGCCAGGAAGAAUGAAUUGCAGGAUUUCUCACUAAAGCAGACAAAGGUAUUCAGUCACUCUGAGAGAGGAAGGAAAACCAAGUUAGCGUACAAGUUACCUGGAGAAAGAGAGAGGUAAGGCAACGUUUUUAUUAAAGAGUAGAAUAUAUUGAAAUAAAAUGAGUCCGACCAAAGCAUUUAUAUAAAGGCUCUCCUCUACAACAGCACUUUAUCUCUGCCCAUUUGCUUUGACAGAAAUGUACUCUUAACGCCCAAUUUAGAAUUAUGAUUUUUGUCAGAAGUACGGUCACUUUAAUCCUUUAAAAUAUUAAACAGGUGAAGUUCUCCGUACCUACAAACCCUUUUGCAUGUUGAUUGGUAUAUGUUACUUGUUUAAACGUGUUUGCCCUUAGAGAAGGAUUCAGCAUUAAAAUAGUUGUAAAAUUCCCAUUUUAAUUCAUUUGUAUUUGAAAUCAGUUUACUUGAGGAUUAAGAGUAAAAUAAGUGAGAUAUUUUUAAAGCAUGUUUUUAAAAGCACUGUAGCUGACAUCUAGAGGUCACUCCUACGGACACUAAAAAGCAAGGAAUUGGGUUGUCCUUGGGAAAAAUUCUAUUUAGAAUAACCUAUCCCUGUAGGAAGGAGCUUGUUUUCUAACAUUUUUCAACACAUGCCUCUCAAAGUAUCAGCAAGAAAAAAAGCAAUUUAAGGCCCAUUUAGGGUGUUCCUUACACUGAGCUAUCUUUAAACAGGGCACAUUAAAAAAUUUUUAAGUCUCCGAAAACACAAAGCUGGCGGCUGCCCCCUUAGAUCACAAAGCUGUGACUCAGAGGCCGUGGUUCGGCGACUAAUAGGAAUCGUUGGCACACG
rnacentral:lncRNA from 1 species